CAUACGCGUUCAGAGUUUGAUCCUGGCUCAGGAUGAACGCUGGCGGCGUGCCUAACACAUGCAAGUCGAACGGACUUUGGUGAAACCUAGUGAUCCAAAGUUAGUGGCGGACGGGUGAGUAACGCGUGGGUAACCUGCCUCACACUGGGGGAUAACAGUUAGAAAUGACUGCUAAUACCGCAUAAGUGCACAGUACCGCAUGGUACAGUGUAAAAAACUCCGGUGGUGUGAGAUGGACCCGCGUCUGAUUAGCUAGUUGGUGAGGUAACGGCUCACCAAGGCGACGAUCAGUAGCCGGCCUGAGAGGGUGAACGGCCACAUUGGGACUGAGACACGGCCCAA
rnacentral:rRNA from 1 species